rnacentral:tRNA from 1 species
GGAAGAUACCGCCGAAUGGACGGCAACUAGACUUGAAAUCUAGGGCAGGAUAACACCUGGGGGUUCGAGUCCUCUAUCUUCCU